AUCGCUAGAGAUAGCUUAGUGCCUUCGGGAACUCUGAGACAGGUGCUGCAUGGCUGUCGUCAGCUCGUGUUGUGAAAUGUUGGGUUAAGUCCCGCAACGAGCGCAACCCUUAUCCUUUGUUGCCAGCACGUAAUGGUGGGAACUCAAAGGAGACUGCCGGUGAUAAACCGGAGGAAGGUGGGGAUGACGUCAAGUCAUCAUGGCCCUUACGAGUAGGGCUACACACGUGCUACAAUGGCGUAUACAAAGAGAAGCGAACUCGCGAGAGCAAGCGGACCUCAUAAAGUACGUCGUAGUCCGGAUCGGAGUCUGCAACUCGACUCCGUGAAGUCGGAAUCGCUAGUAAUCGUAGAUCAGAAUGCUACGGUGAAUACGUUCCCGGGUUG
rnacentral:rRNA from 1 species